GAUGAACGACUGGCGGUAUGCUUAACACAUGCGAAGUCGAACGGUCACUUCGGUGAUAGUGGCGGACGGGUGAGUAACGCGUGAGAAUCUGUCUUCAGGUCGGGGACAACAGUUAGAAAUGACUGCUAAUACCGGAUAUGCCUUAUGGUGAAAGACUUAUUGCCUGAAAGAGAGCUCGCGUCAGAUUAGCUAGUAGGUGGUGUAAGAGACUACCUAGGCGACGAUCUGUAGCUGGUCUGAGAGGACGAUCAGCCACACUGGAACUGAGACACGGUCCAGACUCCUACGGGAGGCAGCAGUGGGGAAUUUUCCGCAAUGGGCGAAAGCCUGACGGAGCAAUACCGCGUGAGGGACGAAGGCUUUUGGGUCGUAAACCUCUUUUCUCAAGGAAGAUGAUGACGGUACUUGAGGAAUAAGCAUCGGCUAACUCUGUGCCAGCAGCCGCGGUAAU
rnacentral:rRNA from 1 species